AAAAAAAAAGUGUGGGUUGCUAAAUGUUCUGGGCCCUGUUGGACAAUUAGGAUGAUUUGAAAUGAAAGGACUCACAGGUGACUUCCGUGAGUACAGUAAUUCAAUUUAAAAUCAGCCUAUUAUAGAGAGACCCACAUGCUGUGGGAGCAUUUGAGUUCAGUCUUUUCUGCCCACAGAGAGAGUCCUUCUCAUUUCACUGAUCUUGCCACCCAUUUUCCCUCCCUCCCACCGAGUCCUGCUGGGAUGAAGCGGUCCUUUGAAAGACAUCAGAACGUUGGGAUUUGAUUCUGCAUUCAGUGACCAUUUGUGACUUCAGAGCAUUCAUGAUGAAGCGUGCCCUUCUGCCUGUCCUCAGAGAUGGAGAGAAAUACUGGGGUGCCACGAAGUCCACGUCCUCACACAGGGGCCCUGGAUCAUGGCCAGAUAUGAAGAGGAAAUCAAUCUAAUUUUUGGUUAAGAAACAUGCUACCUCUCUGAGUCCAGAAACUGAACUGUUUGGAGAAGACACGAUGAAGAUGCCUCCACAGACCAUAAGCUGUGCAUGAGAAGAUCAAGAAUAAACUUUGGGAAGGGUUAGUUCCUGUGAAGAGAAGUUCUGAUGAGGAUAAGAGGGAAGAAAGAUUUCCAAGCUCCAAGGAUGAAUUCAUUUUUAAUGUGAAAUGUCAGCAAGUGAGGAAGAUAUAGGAUGUGCCUAAAAGAAGGAAGAGACAGAGAGACCAUCCUCAAUAGAAUGGGGCUGUAUAGAACACAAAGGAAUAAAGAAGAGAAAAAAAGAAAGAAAAGAAAAAAAGAGAGAGAAAAUAUUUUUUAGGGCAAAAUAUUUCUUUUGGGCAUUAGCCUUUCUUUUGAAAGGGUUAAUGGAUGAUGACUAGUACCACAGAGCAUGGCCAAGGAUCCUCUGGUCUCGUGGGGCAUAGAAAUAAAUAUAAGGUUAAUAUGU